GUGUGUAUGGGUGUGUGUGUGUGUGUGUGAGAGGGAGGGAGGGUCAGCCCGGCCAGCUAUAUGUCAUGAGCGAUGUGGUUCCGUGGUUGCUGUGCCAAAACAGUGCCAGUGAGGGGCAAUGCCGAGCUGCCAACAGCUGUUUUGGUGCGCGGAGUCCCUGUCUGGUUGGUGAGGAUGGCAGGGAUGCCAGGCAGUCAUCAUGAGACUUGCAAUCCUAAAAUGGAACAUGAGAUAUCUGAACCAAAACAGGAACCUUCUGGAAACUGAUGAUAAGGAACUUCUUGCUGAGUCCCAUGUGCAGUGACAAGGGAAGCUCACUCAUUGGGUGAAUUGCUCCAUCACUGGGCCCCAGCUUCAGUCUGACCACAACUGCUCCUCUGAAAUCUUCACAGUACCCGAACUCUGCUGUAAGAGGAGAGGAAUAUUGGAUCGUAGGAGGCAGGAGGAGACCAUUCUGCCCCUCAUGCCUGCUCUGGAAACAAGUUAACAAAGCAGUAGCAUGUGGCAUUUACCAGUUUUUCCUUUAGCUCCACCAUGCUGUAAGAUCACAGCUGGUCUGGUGGGGAUCACAGCUCCACUUUCCUGUCUGUCCCACACCUCCACUAUGACCCCUGACCUUCUCAUCAAUAAAAAAAACGUGUUGAA